CUGGAGCUAGAAAGGGUUGGAGUGACCAUGUUGGGCCAUUUCGGAGCAAAGCAAAGUGAUCAAGAGAGAAGGGAAAGAGAAAAAAAUCAACAUCUUUACUGAGAUGGCUUAAAGUGCUGGGAAGUCAUGAUGUCAAGAACCAAACUCUUCCUCCACCAGUCUGGUACGCCCUUUGUUUCCAUCCGCUAUGAACUGGGUUUUCAGUAAUUCCCAACGCAAAGAGCCCUAACUGACUUAGUUUGCCUCCUUCAUUCUGAGCUCCUAGAAUUGAGCCUGUGUCUUAUUCUUUUUCAUAUCUUCACCCUGAGGAGGUACCCUGAUUUCUCUGGUAGGAGGAAAAGGGUGGGAGCAGAAUCCAGGCUUGGCUGACCAGAAAUGGAAGCAGGAUGGAAAAUGGACCUACUGCGUGUCAAAUCCAAUGCUAGAUAUUUUAUGGAUAUAACACCUGAGGUUGAUAUUAUCAUUAUUACUUUCCUUAUAAGGAAACUGGAGCUCAGGAGUAACUGCCCAGGGUUCUGUUACCAUUAAUGGCAGAGAAGCUCCCACUGGACCACAAAUAACAACUGUGAACUCUGGCAAAGAUUUGAAAACAACAACAACAAUGACAAAAACUGCCUAAAGGUGCUGGAAAGCAACCAAAAGCAGGCAAAAAGUAGAGGGGGGUCUGCUUACAAGCAGAUUAGAGAUGAACGAGGAGUCAAUGAACUUGAAAAUACAUCAAUAGAAAAUAUCCAGUAUGCAAAAGCAAAAUGAACUGAAGUUCUAACAUGCAUAAUUGGAGUCUCAGAAAGGAAGGAAAGAGAGAAUGAGACAGAAAAAAAAAGUUUGAAACAAUAAUGACUGAAAUUUUCCCAUGUUUGGUGAAGACAAAUAUACACAUCCAAGAAUUUUAGUGCACAUAAUAAAACUACUAACUACCAAAUAUAAAGGGAAAAUUUUGGAAAUGGCCAGAGAGAAAAACAACAUAUUUCAUACAGGGGAACAAGGGUAUAAAUAUCACUGAUCUCUCAUCAGAAAAAAUGGAGGCCAGAAGAGAGUAGAACAACAUCUUUAAAGCUUUGAAAGAAAAACAAAAUACCUGUCAACUCAGUAUUGUAUAUCCAGUGAGAAUAUCUUUUAAGAAUGAAAAUCAAAUAUUCGUUCAGAUAAAUGAAAACUAAGAGAAUUCAUCACCAGUAGACUUGCACAAAACAAAUGCUAAAGGAAGUUUUUCAGAUGGAAGGGAAAUUAUAUCACACAGAAACUUAGAUUAUAGCAAGGAACAAAGCGCACCAGAAGUGACAAAUAUAUGGCAACAUACGUAAGACUUCCUCCAAAGGAAGCGCUUCUCAGCGCUCAGAGCAGGACCUGCUGCAUCAGAAUCACCCCAGGAGUGAUUUCAAAACAUUCAAGCCCAGGCCGCGCCCUGUGAGAAUCUGAUUCUGGGAGUCUGGAACGGGGCCAGGUGUCAGAAAUUAACAGCUGUGCCUGCCUCACCAGGAUGUUCUGAGCAUCGAGCAAGCUCUCAGGAUCAGCACCUUGCAAGCGCGUGUGUGCGCAUGAACCAGCUGGAGAGCUUGCGAAAAUUUCUGGAGGUCAGAAGUACGAAACGAGUCCUAGGGGACUCAAAUCAAGGUGCUGAAGUCCUGGUUCCUUCCGCAGGCUCUGGGGGAGAAUCCGUUCCCUGACUCUUCGAGCUCCUAGAGGCUGCUGGCAUUCCUUGGCUUGUGGCGGCAUCACUGUCAUCUCUGCUUCUGUUGUCACAUCAUUGUCUUCUCUUCUCUCUGACCUCUGACCCUGCUCCCUUUUAGAAAGGACCCCUGUGAUUCCAUCAAGCCCACCUGGAUAAUCCAGGUUCACCUCCCCAUGUCAAGAGGUUUCACUUUAUCACACCUGCAAAGUCCCUUGUACCUCAUCAGGUAACAUAGGUUACACGGUCACAGGUUCUGGGGGUUGGGAGGUGGACAGCUUUGGGGGCCGCUGUUCUGCCAGGCACAACUGUCCGGGUGUUUCCAUUGGACCCUCCUGAGUGAGACCCUGCCCAAAGAGCUUAGGCUGCCGGUGAUCUCCUGGGACCAAAUGUACCAUUAUGGUCCCUUCAGAGCCAAGGCUCUGAGCUGCCAAUGGUGGCCGUGGGAGCGACUCAUUCCACUGACCGUUCCUUGGUGUGGAUGUUCCCUGUACCAGGCAUCAAUCUCCCAGGGCUCAGAGGCCGAGGAGCAGGGCCAAGGUCAUGCUGUCCCCCGAGCCCUGAAGCGCAUGCUCGCCAUAGAGCACACUGCUCCUAAGAGCCAGCACAGAGGUGACUUCUCAGGCAGCAGAAUCAGGAGAAAGUUGGUGGGUGGGACAGACAGAAGUCAGAGCAUUGGCCAAGGAGGAAAAGUGGAUUGUCAUUGACAUGGAAAAGGAAGCCAAAAAAAAAAAAAAAACCAGUCCUAUUUUUCCCUAAAAAUCAUUCCCUUAACCCUGUGGACCUUGACACACUGGGACAAGCUGGGCUGACUGGUCCAACGGUCACAUGUUCUGAGCCUAUGAGUGGCUCUUGGGGUCCAGCAGGGCGACAGGCACCACGUCCAGGUCCAGGUCGUGGCUGGCUCACAGGGCGACGGAGCCACCCUUGUCUUGCCCACCGUCUCCAUCCACGCAAAGAUGCUUCUCGGGCUUGCGGGCAGGGUGGCCAGCCAUCCUGAUUUUCCUGGGACUAAGGGCUUUCCUGGGAAAACCGGGACAAGGUGGUCACCCUACCUGGAGGGCAGCCACACAGACCCCAGCCUCGGGCUUGGCUGUUGUCCACUCUCCAGCCCGGGCGACUUGCAGGCACCCUAACACCUCCAGCGGGCUGGGCUCCCAGCUGUCACAAAGCACUCUCCAUAGGAAGCAGCAGCCGUGGUGACACAGGAGCUCGGGGACUGCUGGAGAGGACAGCCCUCUCCCCUGGGGCUGCUGAGUCACACCGGGUCAAGUCGGGUGAUUCAGGGGCUCUACUUCUUUCCUCACGUAGGGGUGCAGAGGGGGGUACUCAGACUGGAAGGAAGGAAGGGAAGAACUAAAUCUCAAAAGUUAAGAGUCCACGGCGAAACCUGAACGCCCAUUUUGAAGCCUGCAGUGGGGGCCGGCCUUUCCAAGGUCAAGGCUACGCAGGUUGGGGGCCCAGGACCUGCAGCUGGGAAGAGGCGUGGUAUGGUGGGAAGGGUUUGCUGGGGCCAGGUAGACCCUGGAUUACCCGCUUCCCAGCAGGGACCCUGAGCAAGCCCCCUAGCGUCUCUGAGCUUCAUUUUCUCAUGGUAAAAAGAAGCCAUGGAUACCUCUGUGCAGAGUUAAGAUGAAUAAUAAACAACCAGCAUGUGAACUUGCCUAAUGCCCAGUAGGUCGCUCCUGUCCUCAGCCCCAGAUCAAGGUCAAUAGGAAAAUAAAUGAGCAAGCAGAGGCUGCCUGGUGAGUCUUGAAUUAGAACAAAGGGAGCUGGAUAAACCCAGAGCUGUUUCACCUCAAGCCCUGGGCCAGGGCCCUGGCCUCCCUCGGACAAGUUCUCUCUGCUGCUCCUUCCUUAGUAUUACUCAGCCGUCCCCUGGCUCUCCCAUCCUUCCAGCAGUACCUCAUGUUGCCUGUGUUACACAUGAUUAAAUUCUAGGUCUUCUACAGGACACAUAGGCUUCCUGCUGGACUCUUUGAUUUUUUUUAUCAUCAGU